rnacentral:rRNA from 1 species
CCUGUUUGAGUGUCAUUGAAUUCUCAACCAUGUCUUGAUUGACUUGGAUUGGAGUUGGGGGUUGCUGGCGGCGAAAGCUGUCAGCUCUUCUGAAAUGCAUUAGUGAUGGACUAGCAAGUCUUUGACGUGCACGGCCUCUGACGUGAUAAUGAUCGUCGUGGCUGGAGCGUCUCCUGGUAGUCUAUUUGCUUCCAAAAACCCAGAUGAAUGAUGCCUUAGCUACUAGUCUAUAUAAUGGAUGAACACGAAAGGC